AGUAACAAAAUGGUUGCGGGCGGACAAACGUGAGAUUUGAAGUCAAGUAAAGUUUGGUAUUUUGUUGAUAGAGGCUACGGCGUGAGUUUAUGUUACAGGAUGAGUGACCGCUUGACCAGUGCCGGCUGUGGUGUGGAGGUCUGUCUGACCAGCGAAGCUCCAGCUCCACACUGCCCUCAUGGACCUACCCUAUUGUUUGAGAGGUACAUCAGAGGAGCGCCCUCUGGGGAGAAGUUUUAUGCCUGCAGUGCUUGUCGGGACCGGAAAGAGUGCAGCUUCUACCUGAGGUAUGGAGAGAAGAUGUCAGAAGCUCGUCAGGAGGCCUGGGCAAAUAUCACUGCAGCCUCUCAGCCAACAUACACUCACAAACAGUUCUGCAAAAGGUUAGUGGAAUUCCGAGCCCUCCCCAUGUCAAAGAGGCGGUUCUGUGAAUCCUGCAGUCUCCUGUUGUUACCUGCUGAGUGGGAGGAACACAGUCAGCAUCGUGUGCUGCAGACUGUCACCCUGGACCAGCUGACCAGGCCAACCCACCUCCUCCAUCCCAGGGAAAAUAAGAAAACUAAUGCUCAAUAUCUGUUCUCAGAGAAGACGCUGCAGUUUUUCCUAAGCCAGGUCCAGCAGCUUGGCUAUGACAGAGUGCUCUGUGUUGGAGUUCCCAGGUUACAUGAAACUAUUCAGUCCCAGCGGGCAGCCAGACUUUCCCAGUUGGACAGCCUUUUACUGGACAUCGAUCACAGACAUGCCCAGUUCUACAGUGAGGAACACUUCUGCCACUAUAACAUGUUCAACCACCACUUCUUUGAUGGAGGCUCAGCCAGUGAUGCCUGCUUACAGUUUUUACACCGUAACCAUGGUACUGGGAUUGUCAUGGUAACAGACCCACCCUUUGGAGGCUUGGUGGAGGUGUUGUGCCACUGCAUGAAGAAGUUAUUCAGCCUCUGGAAAGAAGGUUUACCUGACAGCUGUCAGGAGACAGAAAUCCCCACACUGUGGAUUUUCCCUUACUUCAUGGAGCAGAGAAUAGUGGACUGUCUUCCUUCCUUCAGGAUGUUGGACUAUAAGGUGGAGUAUGAGAACCACCCUCUGUACCAGGAAGGGCCCAAGUCGAAGAAGAGGGGUUCUCCUGUACGCAUCUUUACAAACCUCCCCACUGAUAGAGUAGUUCUGCCCCAAAAGGAAGGUUACAGAUUCUGUGACCUCUGCCGAAGAUAUGUGGCCCCAGAGAAUAGACACUGCCAAAAGUGCAACUGCUGUACCUCCAAGGAUGGCAGAACGUAUGUGCACUGUGACCUGUGCCAGAAGUGUGUGAAGCCAGCAUGGUCUCACUGUGAGUCCUGCCGUCGCUGUGAGCCCAGAGACCACGUUUGUAGCCAGACACAGCACCUGGGCGGCUGCUACAUCUGUGGCCACCCCGAGCACAAGAGGAGGGAGUGUCCACAGAGAUUUUCAGAGGAGAGGUACUCUGGGGCAGAGAGGAAGUCAGGCAAGAGAAAAAGGAAGAGGGAAGGUAACAAUGAAGCAGCUCAGCCAGCGAAGUGACCUGGCGACCGUUAGCACGUUGUUGUCUCGGUAUCCGCGAGACGUGAUGAUGUCACGUUGCAGCCAGGGACACGUGCAGGUACGGGGACUUCGCACACCCAUGCCAAUCGCAACAACACUUAACCUAGGACGAGGGAUCCACCUCAGCAGUACCUUACUUUACUGAGUGUCUCGGAAUCAUUGUGUCAGGCCACGCCCAUCAGCCAUCUAGACAGUGCCAAGUCGAUUAUUGAUGAGGACUAUAUGUGCACUGAGAUAUGUAAUAAGCUGCAGUUAUGAAAAUUCUAUAUCAAUUUAAUGCCACUUGCUAAUGACAUUGUAAUGAGGGUUGGAACUUGCCUCCUGAGACCCAUGAAUAAAGAUGGCAACACCUGGUAUGGUGUUUACAGUAGGAAGGUGGGAGGGUAGAAAUGUCUGUAUAUGCCAUGUGCUUUUUCAGAUGCUAUACACACAAUAUGCCCUUACUAGGUCAGGUCAGUAACUUUGCGCAAAACCUAUUACAGAACCCUGCAUGGCCAUGGCAGAAUGCAGCUAAAAUACAAUGAUAAAUCUAGCAUGUAUUUCAACCUUGCAGUAGAAAUCACCUGAGCAAUUGCCCAGCUUAGGGUAUAGAUUUUGACUGACUAGAAUUUUAACCACCUGAGCUUUGAUUGGGGAAGAACUAAGUGAACCGGAGCCAGGUCUAAUUAUCAGGAUUGGGGUUGCAGCAAAUUAGAUUCCUCAUGCACGAUGAACAGAUAAAUAAUUUCCUUUUCCUGCAUUCCAGGG